UAGUCUCAUAUAGUACUCAAAUAGUUUAAAUUUAGUGUGUGGACUUGCCAGUUUACAGUGCCUAAGGAAAGAGAACAACUACUGUUAUCUGAACUUUAUAAAAAUGAGAAUUCAGCACUUUCUUUACAUUGAGUCAAAUGCCCUUCAGAGUAUUUUCUAUCAUUUUAGUACAUUCAUUCAAUAGAG